AUGAAGUAUCUACUACCGUUGACUAUCCCGGAUUCCUCAUGCGGGCUACUUGUAGUAAACCGUAUGAGAAGGAGGGUUCUCGUACUGGAUCCAUCACGAGACGUCGGGCAAGUUGGAGAGAGCACUCAUAACAAAGAGAUGAUGAAGGAAAUCACAUUGUUGAAGCAAGAGUUCAAUGAUGUGUUGCAGGCUAGGAUCCCAGGUUGGAAUACCCCACUAAUGGAUUGGCGACAAGAUUGCAUGUCUUUUAAUGCUCGCCGACUCUGGUUUCUUUGUCCUACAGGAGAUGGCCCACCAGAUUGGUUGUUGGCGUAG
rnacentral:rRNA from 1 species